CGUAGGGUGCGAGCGUUAAUCGGAAUUACUGGGCGUAAAGCGUGCGCAGGCGGUUUUGUAAGUCAGAUGUGAAAUCCCCGGGCUUAACCUGGGAACUGCGUUUGAAACUACAAGGCUAGAGUUUGAGAGAGGGAGGUAGAAUUCCACGUGUAGCAGUGAAAUGCGUAGAUAUGUGGAGGAAUACCGAUGGCGAAGGCAGCCUCCUGGCUUAAAACUGACGCUCAUGCACGAAAGCGUGGGGAGCAAACAGGAUUAGAUACCCUGGUAGUCCACGCCCUAAACGAUGUCAACUAGUUGUCGGGAGAGUUAUCUUUCGGUAACGCAGCUAACGCGUGAAGUUGACCGCCUGGGGAGUACGGUCGCAAGAUUA
rnacentral:rRNA from 1 species